UCCUCUUCGGGUGACCAGGUAGAAGUGGGCAUGAUCAAUUCCAGGCUGGCGACGAUCUGAUCGACAGGAUGGAAGAUCGGCGCUCCGAUGGCCCAAACGCCUUCAAUUGUGUCAUCAAUCGCGACUUCAUAUCCCCGAUAUCGGAUCAGCUCCAGCUGCCGCUCCAGGCUUUCCCGG
rnacentral:rRNA from 1 species